rnacentral:misc_RNA from 1 species
AGGAUUGGGAAUAGGCAAGUUAAACCGAUGGUUCUAAAUCAAAACAAAUCGACCUGGUUCAGAUCAAUUCAGUUCCUCUCUUAAUUUCGAUUUGGUUUGGUUGACAUUUUUUAUAUUCAGUUUUUCAAUUUCAGCUCAGUUUGGAACCGAACCAAUCGUUUACUCUCCACUAGACAACACACCCCUCUAAUCCCCAAAACUGAAUAUCUAGAGUAUGAAAUUUGCAAAAUUGAAUAUCUACAAGUAGCCCAACAUCGAGACAAGGACCGACUCUAAU